UACGUAGGGGGCAAGCGUUAUCCGGAUUUACUGGGUGUAAAGGGAGCGCAGACGGUGAGGCAAGCCUGAAGUGAAAUGCCGGGGCUCAACCCCGGAACUGCUUUGGAAACUGUCCCACUGGAGUGUCGGAGGGGUAAGCGGAAUUCCUAGUGUAGCGGUGAAAUGCGUAGAUAUUAGGAGGAACACCGGCGGCGAAGGCGGCUUACUGGGCGAUAACUGACGUUGAGGCUCGAAAGCGUGGGGAGCAAAC
rnacentral:rRNA from 1 species